rnacentral:rRNA from 1 species
ACUACGGUGCUGAAGCAACAAAUGCCCUGCUUCCAGGAAAAGCCUCUAAGCAUCAGGUAACAUCAAAUCGUACCCCAAACCGACACAGGUGGUCAGGUAGAGAAUACCAAGGCGCUUGAGAGAACUCGGGUGAAGGAACUAGGCAAAAUGGUGCCGUAACUUCGGGAGAAGGCACGCUGAUAUGUAGGUGAAGUCCCUCGCGGAUGGAGCUGAAAUCAGUCGAAGAUACCAGCUGGCUGCAACUGUUUAUUAAAAACACAGCACUGUGCAAACACGAAAGUGGACGUAUACGGUGUGACGCCUGCCCGGUGCCGGAAGGUUAAUUGAUGGGGKUAGCGGUAACGCGAAGCUCUUGAUCGAAGCCCCGGUAAACGGCGGCCGUAACUAUAACGGUCCUAAGGUAGCGAAAUUCCUUGUCGGGUAAGUUCCGACCUGCACGAAUGGCGUAAUGAUGGCCAGGCUGUCUCCACCCGAGACUCAGUGAAAUUGAACUCGCUGUGAAGAUGCAGUGUACCCGCGGCAAGACGGAAAGACCCCGUGAACCUUUACUAUAGCUUGACACUGAACAUUGAGCCUUGAUGUGUAGGAUAGGUGGGAGGCUUWGAAGUGUGGACGCCAGUCUGCAUGGAGCCGACCUUGAAAUACCACCCUUUAAUGUUUGAUGUUCUAACGUUGACCCGUAAUCCGGGUUGCGGACAGUGUCUGGUGGGUAGUUUGACUGGGGCGGUCUCCUCCUAAAGAGUAACGGAGGAGCACGAAGGUUGGCUAAUCCUGGUCGGACAUCAGGAGGUUAGUGCAAUGGCAUAAGCCAGCUUGACUGCGAGCGUGACGGCGCGAGCAGGUGCGAAAGCAGGUCAUAGUGAUCCGGUGGUUCUGAAUGGAAGGGCCAUCGCUCAACGGAUAAAAGGUACUCCGGGGAUAACAGGCUGAUACCGCCCAAGAGUUCAUAUCGACGGCGGUGUUUGGCACCUCGAUGUCGGCUCAUCACAUCCUGGGGCUGAAGUAGGUCCCAAGGGUAUGGCUGUUCGCCAUUUAAAGUGGUACGCGAGCUGGGUUUAGAACGUCGUGAGACAGUUCGGUCCCUAUCUGCCGUGGGCGCUGGAGAACUGAGGGGGGCUGCUCCUAGUACGAGAGGACCGGAGUGGACGCAUCACUGGUGUUCGGGUUGUCAUGCCAAUGGCACUGCCCGGUAGCUAAAUGCGGAAGAGAUAAGUGCUGAAAGCAUCUAAGCACGAAACUUGCCCCGAGAUGAGUUCUCCCUGACUCCUUGAGAGUCCUGAAGGAACGUUGAAGACGACGACGUUGAUAGGCCGGGUGUGUAAGCGCAGCGAUGCGUUGAGCUAACCGGUACUAAUGAACCGUGAGGCUUAACC